UGAGGAAUAUUGGACAAUGGGUGCAAGCCUGAUCCAGCCAUCCCGCGUGAAGGAUUAAGGUCCUAUGGAUUGUAAACUUCUUUUGUACAGGGAUAAACCUACCCACGUGUGGGUAGCUGAAGGUACUGUACGAAUAAGCACCGGCUAACUCCGUGCCAGCAGCCGCGGUAAUACGGCGGGUGCACGCGUUAUCCGGAUUUAUUGGGUUUAAAGGGUCCGUAGGCGGAUCUGUAAGUCAGUGGUGAAAUCUCGCAGCUUAACUGUGAAACUGCCAUUGAUACUGCAGGGCUUGAGUAAAUUUGAAGUGGCUGGAAUAAGUAGGGUAGCGGUGAAAUGCAUAGAUAUUACGUAGAACACCAAUUGCGAAGGCAGGUCACUAAGAUUUAACUGACGCUGAGGGACGAAAGCGUGGGGAGCGAACA
rnacentral:rRNA from 1 species